GAUGAACGCUAGCGGCAGGCUUAACACAUGCAAGUCGAGGGGUGUAUAGGAGCUUGCUUUUAUAGAGACCGGCAAACGGGUGCGGAACACGUACGCAAUCUGCCCUUAUCUUGGGGAUAGCCCAUAGAAAUGUGGAUUAAUACCCAAUAGUAUAUUUGGAUGGCAUCAUUUAAAUAUUAAAGAACUUCGGAUAAGGAUGAGCGUGCGUAAGAUUAGCUAGAUGGUGAGGUAACGGCUCACCAUGGCAACGAUCUUUAGCUGAUGUGAGAGCAUGAUCAGCCACACGGGCACUGAGACACGGGCCCGACUCCUACGGGAGGCAGCAGUGAGGAAUAUUGGUCAAUGGACGGAAGUCUGAACCAGCCAUGCCGCGUGAAGGAUGAAGGCGUUCUGCGUUGUAAACUUCUUUUAUCAGGGAAGAAACCACAGAUUUCUAUUUGUGUUGACGGUACCUGAGGAAUAAGCACCGGCUAACUUCGUGCCAGCAGCCGCAGUAAGAC
rnacentral:rRNA from 1 species